GAUGAAGAACGUAGCGAAAUGCGAUACUUGGUGUGAAUUGCAGAAUCCCGUGAACCAUCGAGUCUUUGAACGCAAGUUGCGCCCGAAGCCACUAGGCCGAGGGCACGCCUGCCUGGGCGUCACACGUCGUUGCCCCCCACCAUCUACUCCUUCGGGAUUGCGGGGGGCGGAUGAUGGCCUCCCGUGCGCCUAGCCGCGCGGUUGGCAUAAAUACCAAGUCCUCGGCGACGCACGCCACGACAAUCGGUGGUUGCGAAACCUCGGUUGCCCGUCGUGUGCGUUCGUCGCGCAUCGAGGGCUCGAAAACAUGCUCGGCUCCGGCUCGGCUUUCAACGCGACCCCAGGUCAGGCGGGGUUACCCGCUGAAUUUAAGAAUAUCAAUAAGCGGAGGA
rnacentral:misc_RNA from 1 species